UACGGAGGGUGCAAGCAUUAAUCGGAUUUAUUGGGCGUAAAGGGCGCGUAGGCGGGGAUAAUAGUCAGAUGUGAAAUCCUGGGGCUCAACCUCAGAACUGCAUUUGAAACUGUAUCUCUAGAGGGUAGGCGGAGAAAACGGAAUUCCACAAGUAGCGGUGAAAUGCGUAGAGAUGUGGAAGAACACCGGUGGCGAAGGCGGUUUUCUAGCUUAUUCCUGACGCUGAUGCGCGAAAGCAAGGGGAUCAAACAGG
rnacentral:rRNA from 1 species